GUGCCAGCCGCCGCGGUAAUACCGGCAGCCCGAGUGAUGGCCGAUAUUAUUGGGCCUAAAGCGUCCGUAGCUGGCCGAACAAGUCCGUCGGGAAAUCCACGUGCUUAACGCGUGGGCGACCGGCGGAAACUGUUCAGCUUGGGGCCGGAGGACCCGAGGGGUACGUCCGGGGUAGGAGUGAAAUCCUGUAAUCCUAGACGGACCGCCGGUGGCGAAAGCGCCUCGGGAAGACGGACCCGACAGUGAGGGACGAAAGCUCGGGUCUCAAACCGGAUUAGAUACCCCAGUAGUCC
rnacentral:rRNA from 1 species